UUGUUGGUAAGGUAAAAGCUUACCAAGGCUUCGAUCAGUAGCUGGUCUGAGAGGACGACCAGCCACACUGGGACUGAGACACGGCCCAGACUCCUACGGGAGGCAGCAGUGGGGAAUUUUGGACAAUGGGGGCAACCCUGAUCCAGCCAUGCCGCGUGAGUGAAGAAGGCRUUCGGGUUGUAAAGCUCUUUCAGCCGGAACGAAACGGUUACGGUUAAUACCCGUGACUACUGACGGUACCGGAAGAAGAAGCACCGGCUAACUACGUGCCAGCAGCCGCGGUAAUACGUAGGGUGCGAGCGUUAAUCGGAAUUACUGGGCGUAAAGCGUGCGCAGGUGGUUUUGUAAGUCAGAUGUGAAAGCCCCGGGCUCAACCUGGGAACUGCGUUUGAAACUACAAGACUAGAGUGUGGCAGAGGGGGGUGGAAUUCCGCGUGUAGCAGUGAAAUGCGUAGAGAUGUGGAGGAACACCGAUGGCGAAGACAGCCCCCUGGGUCAACACUGACGCUCAGGCACGAAAGCAUGGGGAGCAAACAGGAUUAGAUACCCUGGUAGUCCAUGCCCUAAACGAUGUCAACUAGUUGUCGGGCCUUUACGGGCUUGGUAACGUAGCUAACGCGUGAAGUUGACCGCCUGGGGAGUACGAUCGCAAGAUUAAAACUCAAAUGAAUUGACGGGGACCCGCACAAGCGGUGGAUUAUGUGGAUUAAUUCGAUGCAACGCGAAAAACCUUACCUACCCUUGACAUGUAUCGAAGCCCGCAGAAAAGCGGGGGUGCCCGAAAGGGAACGAUAACACAGGUGCUGCAUGGCUGUCGUCAGCUCGUGUCGUGAGAUGUUGGGUUAAGUCCCGCAACGAGCGCAACCCUUGUCAUUAAUUGCCAUCAUUUAGUUAGGCACUUUAAUGAGACUGCCGG
rnacentral:rRNA from 1 species